CUGGUGUCAGCCGCCGCGGUAAUACCAGCACCCCGAGUGGUCGGGACGAUUAUUGGGCCUAAAGCAUCCGUAGCCGGUCCUGCAAGUCCUCCGUUAAAUCCACCCGCUCAACGGUUGGGCCGCGGGGGAUACUACAGGGCUAGGAGGCGGGAGAGGCAAGCGGUACUCGAUGGGUAGGGGUAAAAUCCACUGAUCCAUUGAAGACCACCAGUGGCGAAGGCGGCUUGCCAGAACGCGCUCGACGGUGAGGGAUGAAAGCUGGGGGAGCAAACCGGAUUAGAUACCCGGGUAGUCCCAGCUGUAAACGAUGCAGACUCGGUGAUGGGCUGGCUUCGUGCCAACCCGGUGCCGCAGGGAAGCCGUUAAGUCUACCGCCUGGGGAGUACGGUCGCAAGACUGAAACUUAAAG
rnacentral:rRNA from 2 species